rnacentral:rRNA from 1 species
UCAAAUCAGGCGGGACUA